CUGUCCUGGAGGGCAGAGGCAGAAAAGGUGGAAGAGGUAGAAGAAGAGACAGGCACACUCGGUGUAAAUUUUAUUGAAAAAAAAAAAUCUGUAAGUGGACCCGCGCAGUUCAAACCCAUGUUGUUCGAGGGUUAGUUGCAUUUGAUAUUUGCUGAGUGAUUCAUCAGAAACUUUGAAUUUGUCUUAUGAAAAUGUAGUAGGAGAAAACUCUGUGAAACAGCCCAGGGAUACCGAGUUUGAUGAACUGCAUUUGCUUUGCUGAAGAGAGGAUGGAAGGGUGUAGUCCUGACUCACACAUGGUUCUGUGCUUUUCGUCCUCCUCUUGCCGUGGUAUGACUGGCAGUUCAACCUGGUGUGUGCUGACUCCUGGAAGCUGGACCUCUUUCAGUCCUGUUUGAAUGCGGGCUUCUUGUUUGGCUCUCUCGGUGUUGGCUACUUUGCAGACAGGUUUGGCCGUAAGCUGUGUCUCCUGGGAACUGUGCUGGUCAACGCGGUGUCGGGCGUGCUCAUGGCCUUCUCGCCCAACUACAUGUCCAUGCUGCUCUUCCGCCUGCUGCAGGGCCUGGUCAGCAAGGGCAACUGGAUGGCUGGCUACACCCUAAUCACAGAAUUUGUUGGCUCGGGCUCCAGAAGAACGGUGGCGAUCAUGUACC
rnacentral:lncRNA from 10 species